AGUGAACGCUGGCGGUAGGCCUAACACAUGCAAGUCGAACGGCAGCACAGUAAGAGCUUGCUCUUACGGGUGGCGAGUGGCAAACGGGUGAGGAAUACAGCGGAAUCUACAUUUUAGUGGGGGGUAACGAAGGGAAACUUACGGUAAUAACGCAUACGACCUACGGGUGAAAGCAGGGGCUCUUCGGAACUUGCGCGAUUGAGUGAGCGGAUGUCGGAUUAGCUAGUUGGAGGGGGAAAGGCCGACCAAGGCGACGAUCCGUAGCUGGUCAGAGAGGAGGACCGGCCACACUGGGACUGGAACACGGUCCAGACUGCUACGGGGGGCAGCAGUGGGGAACAAUGGACAACGGGCGCAAGCAUUAUCCAGCCAUACCGCGUGGGUUGAGAAGGCCUUCGGGUUGUAAAGCCGUUUUGUUGGGAAAGAAAAGCAGCAGUUUAAUACCCCGCUGUUCUGACGGUACCCAAAGAAUAAGCACCGGCUAACUUCGUG
rnacentral:rRNA from 1 species